GGGGAAUUUUCCGCAAUGGGCGAAAGCCUGACGGAGCAAGACCGCGUGGGGGAAGAAGGCUCUUGGGUUGUCAACCCCUUUUCUCAGGGAAGAAGUUCUGACGGUACCUGAGGAAUAAGCAUCGGCUAACUCCGUGCCAGCAGCCGCGGUAAGACGGAGGAUGCAAGCGUUAUCCGGAAUUAUUGGGCGUAAAGCGUCCGUAGGUGGCUUUUCAAGUCGGCGGUCAAAGACCGGGGCUUAACUCCGGAAAGGCCGUGGAAACUGAAAGGCUAGAGAAAGGUAGGGGUAGGGGGAAUUCCCGGUGUAGCGGUGAAACGCGUAGAGAUCGGGAAGAACACCGGUGGCGAAAGCGCCCUACUGGACCUUAUCUGACACUGAGGGACGAAAGCUAGGGGAGCGAAAGGGAUUAGAUACCCCAGUAGUC
rnacentral:rRNA from 1 species